CCUUAUCCGAGCUGUCCCUUAUUUUAUUUCAAUGGUCAAUAUUUAUCACAUUAGUUAAAUCCAAUUCGCUAUUCCUUCUCUCUCCCCUAACCCAAUAGACGUUCUCUAUGGUCCCUUUCUUUCUCUGCAAUGGCAGAUCUCUUUUGGCUUCUUCUCCAAUUUUGAGUAAAAGGUUGACCUCUCAUAUUUUGAAAGCAUAGAUUCUAGACUCAUUCCAAGCAAAUGUCUGCGGUCCAAACGUGAUUCCAACUUUGUUUUGGACCAAAAUUCAAAUUGGAUUUCCAUUUGCAAUGAAGUUGACAAAGGUUAAAUAAAAUUGGUUCUUUUUUUACUUUCCCCUUUUUCAUCAUUUUUGGAAAUAAAUUUCUCCCUAUUUACCCACUUUUAAGUCUUUAGAUUCAGCCAUCACAACUAACUUUCAUACUUACUCUUAAGAAAACUUUAUUCUCUUCCUUAUUUUUAACCUCUGUUGGGUUUCAAAACACAGGUAUUCUUAGUUGUCUUCCACAUUAAUCGGAUGUAGAGAGACCGCGUUCGGAGUUUUGUUUGAUUCUUGACCUUAGUCCGGUUCGUUGCCCCAAAAAAAGUCGGUAUUAUCUUUCUAUACGUAUUCUUUCAUAAAACAUAGUUGUGAGUGUAUGAUUAAACUUAUGUAUUAGAGAACCGUUUAGAUUAAUAUUUCCUUAGUUGUUUGGUAAUCAUGCCUAUAGGUUCGGACUUUAAUUUAUUUGUUUGUGCAUCAAUACAUAAAUUAUUCAUGAUAUUGGAAAAUACAUAUGUGGUUUCAUUCUAAUUUAUAUGUUUCAUGCCAAGUCUUAAAAGCUAUAGAGGAUGUUUUUUCUUGUUGAAGGGUCUGGUUUAUUUAGUUGAAUACCAAUUUAAAACUCAAGUUUAUUAAAUACUAGUUUGGAGUCAUGUUCCUUUACUCCAAGAAUCAUGACAUUAAGAUUUAUCUUGUGCUUAUGUUUUACUGUAUGUGCUAUUUGAAAUAUGAGAUAAAGUAUUCUAUAUAAAAUAUUCCGACUUUAUAUUUUGAUAAAUAUUUAAACACCAUGCCAAUAGUCGUUAUGCUAAAUUUUAUGUAUCGCGAGAGGUUGUAUUGAUAUAUUAUUUAGGGGUACCUCCUCUCCUUAUUUUUAUGAAGAGUACUCUCAUUUUAUUUCAAUAAAAGUAAUUCUUAUUUGAAAUAUGAUUAUUUCAAAAUCUGGACAAGGGAGGUUAUUUCAAAGUUGUUACUUUGAGCCUUCCAAUAGAGUAAAUGUUUAUAUUUUAAAUUCCCCUAGAAAUCAUGGUUAUAGGAAUCUUAUACUGCAAUUUGGUUAGAAGGUGAGUAUUGGAUUUCUUUCAAUGUUUAGAAAUGCUUCAUAUGUUAAUUUAUUGGAUUUCUUUUCUUGAAACCAUGUCAUGAAUCUACCUUUCAAUUCCAGAGUCACAUGCUUGCUAAGACACUAUCAAGAUUCUUCAUAGGCCUAUAAUCCGUGGAUUUCAUCUUAUCUUACUUAUUUUAGAUUUUCAUGAUAUUAGUAUAAAAUCUUCAUUGUUGUGAACCUUAUGGUUCAUUUAAAACUUGUUAUAAUAAUUUGCACCAAGAUUUUCCUUUUUAUGAGAUAAUUUGGUUCAAGUCUGACGAGAUCUUUUCCAAACAGUGGUGCUUUCGGAUUUAGUACUUUCCAGUUCUAUGUUGAACUAGACAUGCUAUGUGUUAAUUGAUUUUCACUAGGUCAUAUAUGAAAUUGACAUUACUAGCUAACAAUGAUUUAUCUUUAUCUAUCACAAUAAAAUGCAACACCUACACUAGGGCUUUGAAAUUAGAAUCCCUAUCAGUUACUAUAUUUCUUACAGUUUCAAGAUCAGCUGAAUAUUUCUUUAAAGUAACACAAAAUAUUUUUAUGGUAAACUAGAAUAACUUCCAAGAUUUUCAAAAAUCAUUUGUUUCUUUCAUAUAUAAAAAUAAUUGGACUUUAACAGUUUUCCUUUGAAAUAUCAAAUUCAAAUGGUAAGAGGUCGGUCAUCCUGAACCAACCUUGAAUGUAUAAAGCAUUUUAUAAGUAUUAAGCCCCCACUUAUUUCAUUUCAAUUCUAGUUCAUUCAAUUAAUAAGUAUUUUAUGGACUUUAUAUAAUAGUUUUAUGAACUGACCAAUACUUAUUUGUGAAACAAUCUUUAGACUAGAAACACCUGAUUUAUUUUAGCCUUAAUUACCUAAGAUUGAUUGGUCAACUGUAAUAAACGGAUCAUGUAGGGUGCUUUAAUAACUUUCCCUGUAGAAUUAAUUAGAACCAUUACCUAUAAUAUUAAGGUUAAAUAGACUAUAUGUAGAAUUAACUUUGGCAUUAUUUAGAUAAAAGAUGGUGUCCUAAUUCACCUUAAAAUAAUUAGGUGGCUACUCUCAUAAAAUUAAUUGAACUUCGGGCUUCCAAUAGGUUAUACUCUAAUUUGACCCGUGUUAAAAUAGGGUAUAACAACUUGGAAACUCUACAUGGGAUUUAGGUUUUAAACCAUAACAAACUUAGGUUAAUAAAAAUGGCCUUUGUAUUUUGUGAAUGUUUUUUCUUUGUUGCCUUAUUUGAAAAUGUUUUACUUCUUGUAAAAUAUAAUUACUAUCUUUUAUAAAUUUUUAAUCCGUUUUUACUUCCUACACUUUUGGAAAAUUCACACUAAGCACACACCUAAAGGUUAUACAAUUUGCGAACGUGCACUUCUUUAUAAAUACCUUUUAGGAGGAAGUUUGUGAGUAAGUCGAUCAGCGGUGCAAUCGACAGUCACAACUUUCCACUCUCAGGUUGUCCACUUGGAAAAAAACUAGUUUAGGAAACCCACUCUUAGCAGAUCUAGGAUAGAGCUAAACCAAAUCCCUUUUUAGGGGCAUGCAUCAUGCAACCUUAGGAGGCUUGAUACCCUAGGUGUAUUUAAUUCAAUUAGUUAGCCUUAUCCAAAUGCCCAAGUGGGUUUAUAACCCCGAGUGACACCUAUUAAUCCUUUAUCUACAUUAUUUGAAAGAUAAAUACACUGAUUAUGUGGACCAUUCACUCCUAAAGGGGAAAAUGGGUAGGAUUAACCUUUCUAUGAUGCAGGAAAUCAUGAAUCAAGUUGUUUACCCAAAAAUUGGACAUCCCUCCAAAACUAAAAGCAUGAUGGAGAAACGUAGGGGAGAAUGCACAGUCUGAAGUACGAAAAAAGAUGGGUCAUCUACCGUUACUUAUGGAAGUCACAACAUGUAGGAAAAUAAUUAAUGUAUCAAUAAAUUAGAUUAGAACUAUGUUGUAAUCUUUAUUUCAAUUAAGGCUACGCCAUUGUAAUCGUUUUAGACUAAGGCAAUAUUGGUAUUUUUCUUUUCAUUUCAUGUACUAAGACUCAUAUCAUCAAUGAUAGUUUGUUUUGGGUAUAUAAUUAAGGAGCAAUGGAAUGAUAUAUAAUGGUGUGUUUAUCUCUAAAAUUUUUGCUAGGCUACCUCUAGCAUCAAGAGGUCCCGUGUAUAAUAAGAAACGUUUAUCAAUGCUUGACUUAUUUGUAAU
rnacentral:lncRNA from 1 species